GAUGAACGCUGGCGGCGUGCCUAAUACAUGCAAGUCGAGCGAACGGACGAGAAGCUUGCUUCUCUGAUGUUAGCGGCGGACGGGUGAGUAACACGUGGAUAACCUACCUAUAAGACUGGGAUAACUUCGGGAAACCGUAGCUAAUACCGGAUAAUACUUUGAACCGCAUGGUUCAAAAGUGAAAGACGGUCUUGCUGUCACUUAUAGAUGGAUCCGCGCUGCAUUAGCUAGUUGGUAAGGUAACGGCUUACCAAGGCAACGAUGCAUAGCCGACCUGAGAGGGUGAUCGGCCACACUGGAACUGAGACACGGUCCAGACUCCUACGGGAGGCAGCAGUAGGGAAUCUUCCGCAAUGGGCGAAAGCCUGACGGAGCAACGCCGCGUGAGUGAUGAAGGUCUUCGGAUCGUAAAACUCUGUUAUUAGGGAAGAACAGAUGUGUAAGUAACUGUGCACAUCUUGACGGUACCUAAUCAGAAAGCCACGGCUAACUACGUG
rnacentral:rRNA from 1 species